rnacentral:lncRNA from 1 species
GAGGAGACGCACAGCAUGCCGGGAAUGAGCAGGCCCCUGUCCUUGGGAACAAACCAUCUGGAGAAAGAGCUGGAAUGAAGCCCAUCAGUGGUGCUUCACUGCUUCAGGAAGAUGCAUGGCUCAGCAGGACACACACGGCUCAGCAGGUCACAGCCAUAGGUAAGCAACCAAAGCACCCUAGACCCCACCACCUCUUUGAGUAAAAUUACCCAGUCAUGUCAGGCUUCUCACCUUUCCCAGAAGGAAUAGUACUUCACACACACACACACACACACAGAUGUGCGUGUACACACAUAUAUACAAACACAUUCAGACACAUACGCAUGCACAUACACAACACACACAUGCAUGCUACACAUACACAUACAUACACACAUAUACAGAUACACACACACACGCACAUACACACACACUACACAUACACACACACACACACAUAUAUGCAUGUGUGCAUCCCUCUUUCUGUGGCAUCCCUGACUUUUUGGAGAUUGAGUCAUUUAAUUAUUUGUUUAAAUAGCUUUGUAAAUGUUCUAAUGUCUAGAAUAUUUGCUAGACAAUAACAACAUUUUCCAUGGUUUAUUAAGUAAAUAAUUGUCCUAAUCGAAAUAUAAAUUGUUACAGAAGUGCAUAAAAUGAAAUUAUUUUUCCAAAUGGAGUUAAAUAAGAGUAUAUUGCAGGAAUUAUAUAUAUUAACCUUGUCUUCAAAAAUGAGUAGAUUCU